rnacentral:tRNA from 1 species
UUCUUAUUAGUUUAAUGGUAGAACACAAUACUUCUAAUAUUGGUAUCCAGGUUCGAUUCCUGGAUGAGAUA